AUAUAUCAUCUGUAUAAAUAAUUAGUGUUAGAGAGAUAAAAAAGAGUUUCUCUCUCUUCUCUCUCUCAAUUUUUCAGAGAGAGAAACUCGACAUCGGACUUUUUCUCCGAUGGUAUCCGUCCAACACCAGAUCCGGUGUUUGGAUCGGUCUUCGCUUCCGUCAUCGACCGUUCUCGUUUGACGGUGAUGGACGGCUUUGCUUCCGGCAUGAGUUGGCCUCCUCGGCGAUUCAUGUCCGGCUUUGACUCCGGUGUGCGUUGGCCUCUUUGGCGACGUCAUAUCCGGCUUUUGACUCCGGUGUGCGGUGGCCUCUUUGGCGGUGUCAUAUCCGGUUUAGAUCCGGCAUGCGUUGGUCUUCAUGGCAGCGGAUGUUCGGUUUAGAUCGAGCUUCCUCCGUUGUUCGCCGGUGUUUUUCGGCCGGAUUAGACGUUUUCCGGCGAUACUUUCCGAUGUCGGUGACCGGAGACCUGUCGACUUCAGACUCUUCGACUUCGCACGUGUCCUCUUCAACGCUUCCUUGGUGCCACGUGUCUAGUGAUUCUCAGAAUUAAUCUUUAAUGAGGGGUUUCUACCUUGGGCUUGGACCUUUUUAUUUGGUUUAUGUAUUUCGAUUUCUGUAUUUGGCUUUUUGUUGGGCUUCUAUAGUUUAUAAUAUUAGCUUGGCCUUUGGCUUUAUAUUAUAAAUAAAGACAAUAGUGAAAAAAAAAAAAUAAAAUAAUUAGUGUCAUUGGUUUCGAAUCA